GAAUGUAUCUGUCUGCCAAGCUUUCUCAUGUUCUUUUGCUUUAAGUGCCACAUUGCUUAAGAAGUGGCCUCACUUAUGAAAGUUUUUCUUCCAGAUUUAUAAAUGCGAAAUGAAGCCCCUGUGUUCUCUCUCAGGUAUCUGGUGAGAACAUGUGCAAUUGCACCUUCAUUAAGAAAGGUAUACCUCAUUGGUGUGCUGUGGGCUUGUAAGCUUUCAAAGGCUCAGGCCUGCAGCUGUUAGGGCAAGCAGCAUGGAGAGGGAAGACCUCCACUAUCCCAAGAGAUUCUCCACCACCAACAGUGAAUUUCCUUCUGUCGCUGGAGAACGGGGAUUGAUGCAGAGGGAGAGUGAAGAUUCUCUGCAUGGGGGAUGCAGACAGUGGGGCUGAGUCUGGGUUAACCGUACUGAGAGAGGACAGGAGUGUUGGUUGGUUGGGAUGGGGAGGGUAUAGAUAAGGGGAUAGUUUAACUAGGAUUUCCCAGAGUUGGGUCAAACUAAUGUUCUGCAGGGGGUCAGCUUGAAAAAAUUUGUUAACAAAUUAGGCAAGAUGGGUGAGGUAAUAUCUUUUAUUGGACCAACUUCCGCUGGUGAGAGAGACAAGCUUAAAGCAAUGGAAGUUGGUCCAAUGAAAGAUACUACCUCAACCACCUUGUCUCUAAUAUCCUGGGACCAAUAUGGCUACUGCAUAUAUUAACAAAUGAAAUUUACAUAUUGAGUACCUGUGCGGCCUAUCCUAACCUCUCUGCUUAUUGGUGGUAUCCCUUCCUGUCUUUUCAUCUGUCCUUUGUCUCUUUAGGUGGUAAGAUCUUUGGGGAGGGGACUUUUCCUCUUGGUUGGAAAGUGCCAUAGUACUGGAAAUGUGUUAGACAAUCUACAUACAAUAGUAAUCUGGGCAGCAAGCUUGGGCUUCAUGGUCACCCAGGUACCGAGGACCUAUGAAGCCCUAUAUGGCACUUAAGUCCUGCAGUGAGGCUGUGUUGGAGGGAACACAGUGAGGCUUUUACACUCUGCUUUGCAAUGGGCUGGGGAAGGGCUGUUGGCUCCAAUGUCUGGGGAACUCCCAAAUAGGGUUGUAGGGUUGGGACUCUGACCUCCACAGUGGAUUCCUGCCCAUUGGUUGAGGGCUGAAUUCUAUCCUCCCCUACACUUGCUUUGUUCUCAACACAAAGUCCAUUCGUUAAGGCUUUGUGUGAGAUUGGAGUGAACUUUCCCUUAUUUAAAGAGCAUAAAAUGUAGCAACAUACUAAUGCAAAAAUUCACCUUUCAGGGCAAAUGUACUCUCCCAGUGCUGAGGCACAGAAUGGGGUAUUGAAAGCAUCAGGAUGUGAGGGCUAUGUACCAGUAUGUGGAUUUGUUUCCUUUAGAGCAUGAAAUUCCUCUUCCAACCCAGUGUUUCUACCUUUCACCUUAUCUUUCAAAAGGCUCUUAAUUGUUGAUGCUUAUUUUUUUAAAAAUGGACCCUUCCCUUUACCAGCUUAAUGUUUUUAGAUGUCUUAAAAUUUUGAAAAUGGAUUUUUGAACCUGUAAAUUUGAUUUAUGUGCACAUAGGGCACAAUAAACCUGUCCGGAUCCAG